rnacentral:rRNA from 1 species
UACGAAGGGGACUAGCGUUGUUCGGAAUCACUGGGCGUAAAGCGCACGUAGGCGGAUUUGUAAGUCAGGGGUGAAAUCCCGGGGCUCAACCUCGGAACUGCCUUUGAUACUGCGAGUCUUGAGUCCGAUAGAGGUGGGUGGAAUUCCUAGUGUAGAGGUGAAAUUCGUAGAGAUUAGGAAGAACACCAGUGGCGAAGGCGGCCCACUGGAUCGGUACUGACGCUGAGGUGCGAAAGCGUGGGGAGCAAACAGG